rnacentral:lncRNA from 1 species
GCACAUGGAAGUUCCUGAGCCAGGGAUCAAACCCGUGCUACAGCAGUGACCCGAGCUGCUGCAGUGACAACUCCAGAACCUUGGGGCUGGUUUUUUAACCAAUCAAAAUGAAAGCUUGUCAACAUAUUCCCAGCUCCAGACUAUCAUGCAGAAAAAGCCCAUUUUACAAGAGAGCAGCUUCCUGGGGCAGGUUUCAGGGCAUCACCAAGCUCCAGCCAUUGCCUGCUCUGCUGUGGGUUUGAUGACUCCACUGUGAGCCUCCUUGUCGAAAGUUCCCGGUGCAGGGACACCAGCAGGGUGUCAGCCCAGAUACCUGAGGAGCCCAGAGGUAAAUAAUCUCUUUCUGCCAUUGACAGAUUUAUCCUUGAGGUCAACAGCACUAUUAAUUUUGCAAUUAGUCUUCGAUGGUCAAAGCAAGAAUUCUUCCACAUCCAGCACAUGUAAAUAUUAGCUGAUGGAAGUUGGGUUGUGAAAGUUAUUUUCAUUUCCACAUUUCUGUUUGUACCUCCGUUAUCCAUGCACCUGAAUCCUGGUACCAUUGAUUCUACCUCAAACGUCUGUUGUUCCCUCCUUUCCGUGCCUCUGCCAUUGUCCUAAAACAAGUCCUUAUCACUGUCCACCUCAUCCAUCGCCCCAACUUGCCCCUGGAUUCGCUACCCCAAUCUGCUCCCUCCCCUCAAUCCAGCCUGCACACUUCUGCCCAAGUUACCUUCCGUAAGACAUACUUCCAGUGCUUCUGCUGUGCCUGGUGAGGCUGCAGGUCCACGCCGAGGCUGCAGCUGUCACCAGAAGAUUGUUCAAGAGCAUAGAAGGAAAGAAUAAGCAAAGCGAAAUGGUCCUUCCAAGACAUUUUGUGCUUGUGUGGAUUUCUGACUUUUCCAAAGUUGUCCCAAGGCUGUACUGCCUCCCAGCCACCCCUCCCUCUGCACUGUUCCUUCCCUCCAGUGUUUUCUUUCCCCACCCCACCUCCAUCUCUCACCGUGUUACUCAGGUUUCAACGAGGGAGGCACUGAUUCUAAAGCCUGUGCCUACCGUGGAAAUGUAAUAGCAUGGAAUUAAAAUUACACUUUGAAGCACUAGAACCACCCUGAGAGUGGCCAGGUCCCCCUGUACCCUCCUCCCCUCACCUGCUACGACGCAUCAGGGAAUAGAGGGCACCGCAAAGGCUUGCAGUCACAUCUCCUAGCUCCUCGAGCUCCCUCCGCUUAGGGUUUCCCAGCCUUUCCAUGUCUGGUACACAGAGAAAUGACAGCAGUUAUAACUCAUACAGCUCAAUAGCAACAACAAAAAUAAAUCUGAUUUUAAAAAUAGGCAGAUGGGGAGUUCCCAGUGUGGCACCGUGGAAACAAAUCCGACUAGUAUCCUUGAGGAUGCGGAUUUGAUCCCUGGCCUUGCUCAGUGGGUUGGUGAUCUGGCAUUGCUGUGAGCUGUGGUAUAGGUUGCAGAUGUGGCUUGGAUCCUGCUUUGCUGUGGCUAUUGAGUAGGCUGGCAACUGUAGCUCUUAGUCCACCCCUAGCCUGAAAACUUCCAUUGCUGUGGGUGUGGUGGCCUUGAAAAGCAAAAAAAAAAUAAAAAUAAAAAUAAAUGGGCAGAGGAUCUAAAUAGACAGUUUACCUAAGAAGACUUCCAGAUGGUGGAGAGGUACAUGAAAAGAUGGUCAUCAUAACUAAUCAUCAGGGAAAUGCAAAUUGAAACCACAGUGGAUGUCACCUCAUACCUAUUAGAAUGGGUAUUAUCUAAAGAGAUGAGAACUAACAAAUGUUGGUGGAUGUGGAGAAAAACGAACCCUUGUACAUUGUUGGUUGGAAUGUAAAUUGGUGCGGCUACUAUGGAAAACCGUAUGGACUUUCUUCAAAAAAUUAAAAAUAGAACUGCCACAUGGUCCAGCAAUUCAACUUUUGAGUAUUUAUCCAAAGGAAACAAAAGCACUAACUCAAAAAGAUACAUGCACGCCCAUGUUCACUGCAGUGUUAUUUACAGUAGCCAGGACAUGGAAGCAACCUAAGUGUCCAUCAGUGGAUGAAUGGAUAAGGAAGAUGUGGCGCAUAUAUACACAUAUACACACAAUGGAAUAUUACUCAGUUGUAAAAAAAGAAAGAAAAAAAAGGAGGAGGUCUUGCUAUUUGUGACAACAUGGAUGGACCUUGGGGGCAUUAUGCUAAGUGAAAUAAGUCAGAGAAAGAUGUAGAAUCUUAAAACAAACAAAACAACAACAACAAAAAACAAACCCCUGAAUGUAUAGAUACAGAGAAUAGAUUGGUGGUUGUCUAUCAUAGUCGGCGUGGGGGCAGUGGCAAUGGCAGAUGGGUGACAUGAUGGGUGAAGAGAGUCAAAAGACAAAAGAUACAAACUACCAUUUGUAACAUAAAUACAUCUUGGGGAUGAAAUGUAUAGCGUGCUGAUUUUAGUUAACCAUACUGCAUUGUAUAUUUACAAGUUGAUUAGAGAAUAGAUCUCAUUACAGGGGGAAAAAAAGUAACUAUGUUAUAACCAAACUUGUGGUGAUCAUUUCACAAUGUAUACAAACAUUUAGUCUUUAUGUUAUAUACAAUGUUAUAUUUCGAUUAUAUCUCAAUUUUUAAAAAAAUAGCUCUUUUUAGGAUCCAAUACUUAACUGCUAUCACAAUAGUGCUUUUUUUUUUUUUUUUUUUUUUUUUUUUGGUUCUUUAAAAUCUUUGAUUUUUCUCUCUCCUCCUCUCUCUUUAUAGGAAUUCAGAAAUAGGCUUGGGAAUCACCUGAAUUCAAUAUCCCACACCUCGACUGGAACUCAACGAAAUGCCGCAAGUUCCAGAAUGGCACUGCAACUGCAAAGGCUACACCAAGACUGUGCACUGAGAUUGUCGGUGGGCCUGGCUCUGUUGGCUCUUCUGUUUGCUUUUUUGGUCAAGGUCUAUAAUUAAAACAUAACCAACUGAAGCAUUUGUGAAGGAGAAUAAAUAUCUAAUUAAAAUCUUCAAAGAGAAGGAGAGCGACCACAUCAAUUCUCAAAGGGCAAUAAUUUAUACUGGUCUCUGCUCUUCAGCCACACUCUCUAAUGAGGCUACCCCUGUCUCACGUUGUGUUGAGCCCAUUGGUUAUUUGACCUAAAACCUAACACCAGCUGCCAUAGCAUAUCUUUUCAAUUAAGCUCCUUUUGGUCUAUUUUUAGCGAGAAAUGCAAGUGGUUGCAUUUUCUUUAAAUCACCAAUCUUCAGGUCAGAACCUGUUUGUACAGUGGAUCGGGUCACCUCUUCCUUAUGUGGGAAGAAUUUUCCACUUUCAAUAAACACUUUAAAAUGUAUCUUUCUCUUUAUGCUUUGUUUGGGGUCUCGAUGCUACAAACAUCUUAUUUCCCACAGCAGAUGUGUUCCUGAAAAGUUUACUUGGAAACCUCUUUUUGGAACACGAGUCCUUUUGGAAUGCACCAAGAGAGCCUGUCCAUUAAAAGACCCUUGGCGACAUCUUGAAAAGCCUGAAAAAUCACCCACUUCUUCAGCACCCACAAACUUCCAAGGACUGGAUUUGUCUGAAACAAGCUCUGCCUCUUUCCCAACAUUUCUGAUCGAUUAUAUCAAUCGCUUAUUUCCACCUGACAUUGGUGGCCUUUACUAAGAGAAGUGAUUUCUUUCACACUAAAAGGACAUGAAUAAGUCUCAUGACCAUGAGAAUUUAAAUAAGUUAUUUGGAUUGUACAGUCACAGGGAAAUCAGGCCCCCAGUGGUAACCAUGGGACAGUUUUCUUUUUUAACCCCUACCCUUCUUCACCUCUUCCCUUCAUCUCAAAAUAUUCCGACCUCCUAUGCUCUUUAAGGAGUCCAGAUUAAAAUUAAAUUAUGUCAAAAAAACAAAAUACAGAAAACUUUCGUGUUAGGAUAUUUUUCCCAAACCUGGAAUGUGCUUCUAAGAAGAGGUCACAUUUAAAAUGGCAGGAUCUGCACAUGCCCUUCUAAGAGCCCCGCAGUGAGACAGCCACUUGGGAUCACCUGUAUUGCCAGCAGGGAGAGGGAGCAGUGUGGGCAGAGUCCAAGCGGCCUUGCUGGAUGCUUUUUGUCUUGAGGUAUAUGCAGUCAUUCCUUUGUUAGUAAACAGAGUGGAUUCCAGCAUGGUCUUCACGUAACAAAAACAUAGCAGACGUGGACAUACUGCCAAAGGCCUGAAGUCAUAUCCACUGUGUAGGACACGAGAAGCACCUCACAUCUGGUACUGAUUGGAGACAGAAAGCUCUUUUUUCCUGGCUCCCUCUCUCUUUUCCUCUCUCCCCUUCGCUGUUUCUUUCCUCCCCUCGAGCUCUGAAACCUGUCUCUGCUCCACUCUCCUUCCUUCAUUUUUUAAAUGUAUUAAAAACUUGUUGCACUGAAGUGUUGGUUUACAAUGGUGUGUUAAUGUCUGCUAUUCAGCAAAGUGAUUCAGUGAUACAUGUAUAUGCACUCUUUUCGUAAAUAUUCUUUUCCGUUAUGGUUUCUCGUAGGACAGUGAAUAUAGUUCUCUGUGCUCAGACGGUAUAGGAUCUUGUUGAUUAUCCCCUCCGUGUAUUAUGGCUGACAUCUGCUCUCCAGCCUCCUCCAUUCAUUCUUAUUUCUGCAAAAGAGUAAUACACCCCACUGCCCCUCACCAACUGUGGCGGGUGUGCUCAGGGUUCGUUUAGCCAUGCAGGAUGGUCUCCUCUCUGCUCCAGCUGUUACUCAUGCUCAGUUAGGCUGCAAUUCCACUCUGUUUUUUGGUCCAGAAAGCUUAAAAGCCCUACAAUAGAGACGAGAUCAUACACGAUGGGUGACCAGCUGGGUGGAAGUGAGCUGCAAAUCCAGCUUGCUUUUUCCAUGACCUCCUGCUAGAGGGAGAGGAAAGAGAAGGGCGAGUGCGUAUCAACCACACAUUUAGCUUGUAGGAAUAACUCUGACCUCGACUGAGCCUGGAGCUGUAGGGGCAAGUGUGGCAUCAGUAACGC